UCAGUCAGUCGACGCGCGGCAGUCGGUGGGUGAACGUAUUCUUAGUUGCGACAUUCGACGGAACAGAUCGGUGGACUUUUUCAUGAAGAAACCGUGGUGAAGUGACCGGGACCCGUCUUCUCCGCGAAGAAGAAGAGGACGACGAAGAGUGGAAGGAAGCUGGGUGCAUGCUGUGGUCAUGGGAAGCAUUCUGGAACACCAUCGCUAUUGGUCCUCCAAUAUCCUGGAGGCCAGUGGUGUCAGUGACACCAGAGAAUAAUACGAGCUGCUAGCGUGAAGAAGUGCAGUGGAGUUGGCUUAGGCCAACGUCGGUGGACGAGGCAAAAUGGCAACGAUAGAUGGCCGACCCGCCCAAUAUGGUAUCACUCUCAAGCAACUUCGCGAGCUCAUGGAGCACCGAGGACGCGAAGGUGUCAAUAAAAUCAAUAGCCAUGGUGGUGUGCAGGAAAUUUGUAAAAAAUUAUACACUUCACCCAGCGAAGGUCUCAGUGGAUCAGCGGCAGAUAUCCAACAUAGACGUGACACAUUUGGUUCGAAUCUAAUACCACCAAAACCACCAAAAACGUUUCUACAAUUAGUGUGGGAAGCUUUGCAAGAUGUUACGUUAAUCAUCUUGGAAGUAGCUGCAUUGGUUUCGUUAGGUCUUAGUUUUUAUCACCCAGCAGACGACGAGGAACAAUCUGGUUCAUCGAUGGAAGAAGAUGAAGCCAAGUAUGGUUGGAUCGAGGGACUUGCUAUAUUAAUUUCUGUGAUCGUGGUGGUAUUAGUAACAGCUUUCAAUGAUUACUCUAAGGAAAGACAAUUUAGGGGCCUCCAGAGUCGGAUAGAAGGGGAACAUAAAUUCUCGGUUAUUCGGCAAGGCGAGGUCAAACAGAUCUCCGUGUCUGACAUAGUUGUCGGUGACAUUUGUCAGAUAAAGUAUGGAGACCUGCUGCCAGCAGAUGGUGUUCUUAUACAAAGCAACGAUCUCAAAGUGGAUGAGUCCAGCUUAACCGGCGAGUCAGACCAUGUUAAAAAGGGGGAAUCAUUCGAUCCCAUGGUACUCUCAGGUACUCACGUGAUGGAGGGUUCCGGGAAAAUGUUAGUUACCGCAGUAGGUGUUAAUUCCCAGGCUGGUAUUAUCUUUACUUUGUUGGGUGCCGCUGUUGAUCACCAGGAACAAGAGAUUAAGAAGAUGAAGAAAGAGGCUAAGAAGCAGCGGAAGAAGAAGUCGUUAACAGGAGACGAGGCUGGAGAAAUAACUGGAAACAGUCACGUGAGCGGAGGAGCCAAGCACGAGGCCGGGGAGAAUCAUCAAGCAGCCAGCCAAGGGAGCGGAGGAGAAGGAAAGAAGGAGAAGAGUGUUCUUCAAGCUAAGCUAACUAAACUCGCCAUACAAAUCGGUUACGCCGGCUCGACCAUAGCAGUGCUUACCGUUGUCAUUCUAGUCAUUCAGUUCUGCGUAACGACGUUCGUCAUUGAGGGAAAACCUUGGAAAAAUACAUACGCUGGUGAUCUAGUGCGGCAUUUGAUCAUUGGUGUAACGGUACUCGUGGUCGCCGUUCCCGAAGGUCUUCCUCUAGCUGUCACCUUAUCUCUUGCUUAUUCCGUUAAGAAAAUGAUGAAAGACAACAACUUGGUCCGUCACUUGGACGCUUGUGAAACGAUGGGCAACGCUACAGCGAUCUGUUCGGACAAAACUGGUACCCUGACAACCAACCGUAUGACCGUUGUUCAGUCGUACAUAUGCGAGAAGAUGAGCAAGACGAUCCCGAAGUUCUCGGACUUACCGAACCACGUUGGAAACUAUAUAAUACAAGCUAUAUCUAUUAAUUCGGCGUACACAUCCAGAAUAAUGCCCUCGCAAGACCCUACAGAGUUGCCGCUUCAAGUCGGCAAUAAAACCGAAUGUGCCUUACUUGGAUUCGUAGUAGCCCUGGGCAUGAACUAUCAGACGAUACGAGACGAUCAACCUGAGGAAACCUUCACGCGGGUGUACACGUUCAAUAGCGUUAGGAAGAGCAUGUCUACCGUCAUUCCGAGGAAGGGUGGUGGAUACAGGCUUUUCACCAAGGGCGCUUCCGAGAUCAUCAUGAAGAAAUGUGCCUUUAUAUAUGGUCGCGAAGGUCAUUUGGAGAAAUUUACCAAAGAGAUGCAAGAGCGUUUGGUAAAGAACGUAAUCGAACCAAUGGCGUGCGACGGGCUUCGUACCAUCUCCAUUGCUUAUCGCGACUUUGUUCCUGGCAAGGCAGAGAUCAAUCAAGUUCACAUCGACAACGAGCCGAAUUGGGACGACGAGGAGAACAUUGUGAAUAACCUGACGUGUCUUUGCAUCGUCGGUAUCGAGGAUCCGGUUCGUCCGGAGGUGCCGGACGCGAUCAGAAAGUGCCAGAAGGCGGGCAUCACCGUGCGAAUGGUGACGGGAGACAAUAUUAAUACCGCGCGCUCGAUCGCCCUGAAAUGCGGUAUAUUGAAGCCGAACGAGGACUUUCUGAUCCUCGAGGGGAAAGAGUUCAACAGGAGGAUCAGGGACAGCAACGGGGAGGUGCAGCAGCAUCUGUUGGACAAAGUGUGGCCCAAGUUGAGGGUGUUGGCCAGGUCGUCGCCCACGGACAAGUACACGCUGGUGAAGGGCAUAAUCGACAGUCAGGCGAGCGUGAGCCGCGAGGUGGUAGCCGUGACCGGCGACGGGACGAACGACGGCCCGGCUCUGAAGAAGGCCGACGUCGGUUUCGCUAUGGGUAUCGCCGGUACAGAUGUCGCCAAGGAAGCUUCCGAUAUCAUUUUAACGGACGAUAAUUUCUCUUCGAUCGUGAAGGCAGUUAUGUGGGGUAGAAACGUCUACGAUAGUAUAGCAAAGUUCUUGCAGUUUCAGCUGACCGUCAAUGUCGUCGCUGUUAUAGUUGCUUUUAUCGGAGCAUGUGCAGUGCAAGAUUCCCCCCUUAAAGCAGUGCAGAUGUUGUGGGUGAACCUAAUCAUGGACACGUUAGCGUCUCUCGCUUUGGCCACCGAAAUGCCUACGCCUGAUCUUCUACUUCGCAGACCGUACGGUCGCACGAAACCACUUAUCUCCAGGACAAUGAUGAAGAACAUCCUUGGCCAGGCCCUCUAUCAGUUGACCGUUAUUUUUAUGCUUCUUUUCCUUGGUGAUAAGAUGCUCGACAUCGAAACGGGCCGAGGGGUAGCGCAGGCUGGCGGCGGUCCGACGCAGCACUUCACCGUCAUCUUCAACACGUUCGUCAUGAUGACUCUUUUCAACGAAUUCAACGCCAGGAAAAUCCACGGUCAGCGUAAUGUCUUCCAAGGAAUAUUCACCAACCCCAUCUUUUAUUCCAUCUGGAUCGGCACGUGUCUAUCGCAGGUAGUUAUCAUACAAUACGGUAAAAUGGCGUUCAGCACGAAAGCUCUCACUUUAGAACAAUGGAUGUGGUGCCUGUUCUUCGGAGUCGGCACUCUAUUGUGGGGCCAAGUAGUUACGACUAUUCCUACGCGCAAGAUUCCUAAAAUCCUUUCAUGGGGCCGCGGCCAGCCGGAUGAUAUCGGUGCGAUCAAUCUCGGAGAUGAGAAAUUCGACCCCGACUCGGAUAAAAAGCCGCGCAAAGGACAAAUUCUAUGGCUCCGUGGUCUAACACGACUACAGACACAGGUAAUAGGUGGCGAGUUGCAGGAACGUUUGAUACCAGUACCCUACAGCAAGAGUUCGACAGACCAAGCUAUCCGCGUAGUGAACGCAUUUCGGCAGGGCCUAGACGCGCGCUACACGAGCGAGCACAGCAGCACUACCUUGGCGGAGGUACUGAGAAAGCAGUCGUCCUUAAACAAGCGACUCUCGCAGACGAGCAGCAUCGAAUACGCCGACAACAACCCAGACGAGCUGACCAUACCCGAGAUAGACGUCGAGAGGCUCUCGAGUCACAGUCACACCGAGACCGCCGUUUAGAAUGGGGACGUGGACGGACGAAACGUGAUUCGUCCCGACGGUCGACGACGGUCAUCGCUGUGUGUUACUUCUCGAUCACCUACGACGAUGCAUACACGAUUCUCCGCGUCCUCGUUCUCCCGUGGCCAGGCGCGUACGAGAACCGCGUUUACGACCCCUCUCGAGGAGACGUGCUUUUCGAAUCCACUGAACGAGAGAACGGUGGGGGAGAGGGGGGGAAAUAAUUACUGUUUCCCGACCUAGUCGAAGCGAACGAUCGUGCACGCGAGUUUUAGGUCCUCGUCAUAAUCGACGGCGCCACGAGAUAAUAUAACGAAUUCGUUUCGGGUCGUGCUCGUGUUUAAUCGAGGAGAGACGACGGACCCGCGGCAAAGAACGCAAGACACGAGAAAUUAAUUAUUAAAAUAAUAAUAAUAAUGACGAUGACCUUCUGCCCACGAGACAUCGUCGCGGACCUCAGUCGAUCCGUGCGAAACACCAAUUAUAAAAUACCAAAGUAACGCACCACUGCCUUCCCUCUAUUUAGUUGUUACUUACGUUUCUUCUUAUUCGACCCUUGUUUCCUCCCCCCUACCCCCUUUUCACUCACUCUCUCUCUCUCUCUCUCUCUCUCUCUCUCUCUCUCUCUCUCUCUCUCUUUGUCUGUCUGUGUCUGUCUCUACCCCCCCUAUCUCCCCUCUUAUUUCGCCAUCGACCAUCCUUUCUUUACCCUCAUCCCCUCCUGUGUGUGGUUCCUUUCAUUUCAAAGUCGCACCGCGUAGAACGUCGGGUCGAGGAGGAGAAAGCAAGAGCGUAAACGGGGAAACGGACGGAAGUCGCCGAAGACCGGAAUAAUCGAAUACGCGCGUUCAGACGUUUCGCGGUGCUGUUUGUUUCUUGCCGGUUUCUCGCUUCUUCUCCUAGUUUCUCUGCCACCCCGUCUCUAUCCAUUCGCCCCAUUGUACGUCGCUGCCACCGGUCAUCCUGAUUUACUGCCAUAUUCAUUAGUUUCGGGUCAUCGCGUACGUCAUCUACGAACCAUCGUCCUCUCCUCUCAGCUUCUUCUUUCUCGUUGACAGAGCUAGGCAAAAUUAACGAACCGCGAAAUUUCGUCAAAGGAACGGAUCGAGAGGUGGCGCGCGAGUCACCAUUGGUCCCGUCUCACGAGAGACGAGGAGAGUGGGGGAGUGCUCUCUGUCUAUCUCUCGGCUCCGCUCGCGGAAGCAACAGGUGGCGCGCGAGUCGUCGCCAGUGCCGUACCGCAAGAGACAAAAAGUGGGUACUCCUUACCCCUUCGUCUCAUCUCUCGACCAAUCGUCUGACAUUCGAUCGAAAUUUUGCCCUUCUCUGGUCUCGUUACCUCGCACAAUACUUCGCGACACUCCUCUCUCGCUUCCCCUAUUUUUCGCUCCCCUCUUUCCGUCUUUCUCGCGUGACUUAAGGAUGAUCUAGUCACUAGUUUAUAUCGCUGAAUACUUCCGUGAAUAUACUCAGCCCUGGGGGUGCCUUACCGAAAACAAAGUUAACAAAAAAAAAAAAUAAUAAUAAUAAUAAUAUGCAAAAAAAAACACGAAUGCGCAUUGUUUUUUAGCCUUACUUCGCGUGUAAAACUUAAAAGGAGAAGAAAAAAAAGGAACGAAAGGAGUAACGAAGGGUUCGAUGGAUAGAACUACACGGGGAAACGUUUGAGAGAAUACCGUGCCGAUUCUUGUUCCUGUCGGUAACGUCGCGCGAAUUCAAACGGGAUUAACGGAGAGGGUUAUCCGACGAAUGGAAAGGAAUGUAGGCGCACGUGGAAAGUGGUAUACGACGAAAAGUAAAGCGGAAUUUAAAAAAUAAAAAGAAAGGAAAAACAGAUACGCCACGACAUUGCCAUUAAUUACGCUUAAAUCGAUACAAAGAUCCUGAUAGUAAAGACGUAAUCACGCCACGGUACGAAAACUUGCAUGUACUUUUAGUAAUAAAUAUAUGUAGCUACGACCUAUCCCCCGAACGUAAAAGACGUGAAAAUGAACCAUUUUUUCCAAAGAGAUACCUUGUUUUUGUUUUUUUUUUUUUUAGAACGAUAAAGAAUUCCGUUUUUUUAUUUUUUGUCGCGUGGCUAUACCGUAAUUAUUCUCAGGACUUAUCGAUUUCGAACCAGGAACGCACGUGUUUUCUGAACAGAGAUGGGCAAAAUAUCCAGAUCGAUCGGUAGAACGAAAUAUCGAGCGGCGAACGAAUACCAAAUUUUGUCCAUCUCUGGCUUUAAGCCAUCGGUAGGUCGAGUCAAUGAAUUGAAACGUCUCCGCUGCCCAAUGCUGUUCGAUCGCGCGAAGCGCUAGAGAUUUCAAAAAGAUACACGUACACACGCAUACAUACAUACACACACAGAUAUAUUAAAAUCGCGCGUAAGAGACACGUGUUCAAAGUACGGCACUGGAGUCCGCGAGUCGGGCCCGUCGCGCGUGCGCAACAACAGACCGUAUAACUCGCGGCGCGGAGUGGGGAGCCAGAGUGAGACGGCUGCGCGCGCCGCGGGUCUCCUCGCGACCCGUCAGUCGUGCGACGCGCGUCAUAGUGGAAGGAGUGGAAUGAGUGACGUGUCGAUACAUGUGUUACCCAGGGCCGGAUUACGAUCGCGCGUAUCCCUGGGCUACAGGUACUGUGAGUAUACAAACGAAAACUGUAUAUAUAUAUACGUAGGUCAGCCAGGAGCGUAAAUUUCAAUUCGUAAAUUUUUUAAUAAUUAAGUGAUCAGAUGAAAAACUGGCGAAGAAUUUUUCGAUUUCUUUUCGUGUAUUUAUAUAAAUGUAUGUUAGUUAGUAGCGAUAUUCGUAAAUUUUAAUUCGUUAAUUAAUUUUUUAACGAUUACUUAACCCGACCAGAAACCGGUUCGAUUUCUCUUCGUGCAUUUUAUUUAUCGACAUUCUCUAUGUUUACACGUAUUCGCGUACAGUACAUUGAAGUCGUUCAAUCUCUAGUACUUACUUUUUGAGCAUUUACAAAUAAACGCCGUUACUUAGCCCCUGAAGACUAUCAGCCGACAGGGGCCCCUAUGGCACCCGUGCAUCGUUCCGGUCCUGGUGUUUACCUCUCGAGCUUCGCGGUUAGUUUCUUUUUCUUUUUUCGAGAGCCAACGCGUGCUUACCGAGUCUCCGUGAAGUAAGUAGCCAUGUUUGAUCGUAACGCGUCAAUUUUUUAUUCGUUCGCCCAUGCAUUGGAAACAAAACGAAAUUAAUUGAAAACAAAAAAAAAAACAAAAAAAAGUAAGUUGAAAAAAAAAGUUCAGAAAGAAGACAGCGUUAAACGAGAGCGAGAAAGAGGUUAGAUAAAAUCGGUCAUCCGCAGAGAAAGAUCUCUUUCGUGUCACGGGAGCUCGUGUAAUUCGUCGUCGCGUUACACGGGCACGUUUUUUCGUAGGUUCGUUAAAACAUAUAUAGGAGUUAGUUUGAACAGGCUUUAAGUGGCCUAUUUACUGCACUGUAUUCUAGUCUUAAGCACUCUGUAUGCCUUACACUGCCAGUUGUAAAGACGCGCUGUUCUUGCGGAUACCUUCGCGGUACACACACACAUAUACUUAUAUACAUACAUACAUAGGUACACGCAUAUGUAUACAACGACGGAUCUCCAUCAUCGCCUCAAAGUCGUUUAUCAUCGUCUACCAUCGCUGUCCCCGCUAUAUCUGUCGCACUCUUUCAGAUUCUCCCUUUACUUCGUACUCUAACUUCGCCUUUUACCUCGUUCGCUGCGGAAUGGUAUAUGUUUUUCCUUUUAUUUCACGCUUCUCUAGAUACUUUUCUAGAUAAAGUUCGUCUCGUUCUCGUAUAGGGCACUCAACCGCGCACGCGUACGAACGCCCUCUUUCUCUCUCACUUUCUCUCUCCCUCUGUCGCUCGAUUUCGUCACACCUGUACAGGGUGUCCCAAAAAAUGGUGGAGGUCAUUGAGAAGGGUGGUUCGGGAGGUGAUUUGAAACAACUUUUUCCUUAACGAAAAUAUUGUCCGGGGCUUUGUUUAGGAGAUAUUAACAGAAAACAUUGACCAAUCAGCGGGCGCUCCCACGGUAUACGCGCGCUCUGAUUGGUCCAGAGUUUUUCGUUUAUAUCUCCUAAACGAAGCCUCGUAUAACAAUUUCGCUAAGGAAAAAGUUGUUUAAAAUUACCUCCCGAACCACCUCUUUCAAGGUGUUACAACGUUUUUGGGACACCCUGUAUAUACAGAGUGGAGGUGAUUUGGAACAACUUUUUCCUUAGCGAAAAUGUUGUCCGAGGCUUCGUUAUGGAGAUAUUAAGAGAAAACCCCGACCAAUCAGAGCGCCCGUAUACCGUUGGAGCGACUAGGCGUCCGCGCUCAUUCGCUACCGCGGCCGCUCCACCGGCAUCCUCGCGCUCUGAUUGGUCGAUGUUUUCUGUUAAUAUCUCCUCAACGAAGCCUCGGACAACAUUUCCGCCAAGGAAAAAGUUGUUUCAAAUCACCUCCCGAACCACCGUUUUCAAAGAUCUCCAACAUUUUUGGGACACCCUGUAUACCACCUGUCCUUCUCUAGGAAUUCAGAAACAAAGCGAAAGAUUGAAACGCCUCGCGAAAACUAUCUCGAAGCAGACUGCUACUAAUUUCACGUAGGCUUCGAUAGACACGGGUUGCGUUCUCGCGAAUGGAAAACGAAUCGAAGGGUUACGAGAGACAUCGAAAUUUAACCCUUUUCGGCCAUGACGCUCCGCCGCGUAACCAUCCCGCUGGUCGAGGUGAUUUCUAAGCGGCGCUCGCCUCUAGUCAGACAUUGUUCGUAACUAUCGUUCUCUUGGUUACUGUUAUUAUUGCCGCUUAGCGAUUAUUUAGCGUUCGUCGAGCUGUACCCGACCUACGACCGGAACGGUACAAGUGUUUCGUAAAGCGAGAGUGGACCCGCCGCAAAGGGUUAAAGCAUUACACACACACGCACAAACACAAACACAUACACACACAGAGAGGAACACACGUUAAUGAUAUCUUGCUGUUAUCAAGUCUUUUGCAUGCUCGGUACCACCGUUAUCGUUAUUGCCAUUGUCUUCGCCCCAUCGUCAUCCUCGUUGUACCUUUUUACGUUAACGUUUUCUCGCCCCCUUCGUUUCGCGAUUGCGCGCGCAACGAUGCAUCCGAACGAGACUUAAAUAUAUAUAUAUAUAUAUAUAUUUAAAAGAAAAAAAAAUAAUAAGGAAGAGAGAGAAAAAAACCAGAAGAAAAACGGAAAAAAAACGUCUACUCGUUUCACACACUCGUCCCGUCCCUUAAAAAAAAAAAAAAAACAAAAUCUCGCAUUAUAAGCAUCUUUUUACGCUCCGGUUAUAUUCUUACUCUGUAAACUCUAUAUUUAAACCGCGUCUCAAGCUCGCGAAACUAUUUAAGAUUGUGUAGACUUAUAAAAUCGUGCGCGACCGAAGGAAGAUGCGUUAAACAUGAAAACAAACAAACAAAGAAACAAAAAAAAAAGAAAUAAAAAUAGAGAGAGAGAGAAGAUAAAAAAAAAUAUUAAAUACGAAACAGAAAUAGUUCCCGAUAGUCGAACGGGAAGGAUA